UACGGAAGGGGCAAGCGUUGUUCGGAUUCAUUGGGCGUAAAGGGUGCGUAGGCGGCGCGGUAAGUCGGGUGUGAAAUCUCGGAGCUUAACUCCGAAACUGCAUUCGAUACUGCCGUGAUUGAGGACUGGAGAGGAGACUGGAAUUUACGGUGUAGCGGUGAAAUGCGUAGAUAUCGGAAGGAACACCAGUGGCGAAAGCGGCUUCCUGGUCCAGCACCGACGUUCAGGCACGAAAGCGUGGGGAGCAAACAGG
rnacentral:rRNA from 1 species